rnacentral:siRNA from 1 species
GGGCUGCCCAUGGGCAUGAAUUG